rnacentral:misc_RNA from 1 species
UUGUUUCGUUUCUGUACAUAGACAUUUUUUACAGGUAAAGUUUGUAAAGUGCAAGUCCAAGGGGCUGUGCCGAUGGGCCUCGCAGACAGUUCACAGGUGUUGUGGAUGUGUAUUCCAGGAAUCGGCCACAAGGGACCGAGACCCGCCCGACGACAGGCGUGCCUGCCGCCGGGAGAUUCGAAUUCACUAAUGAUCCUUCCGCAGGUUCACCUACGGAAA